AUACCUCCCUGGCAGGGAAGACAUCAUGAUCAGAAAGGUGGCUUCCCCAGGGCAAAGCUUAUNCAUUUCAUUCUAGGUGUGCUGACGCCUGCGGUUUCCCAGAUGUUCGAAACUCAACUGCACAAUUUGUGUUAUUGGAAGAAUGCGUUGGCACCCUCUCUUU
rnacentral:snRNA from 1 species